GUUAAAUGAACGCUUCGUCUCGAGAAUUCAGUGAUGCUCACUCCUUCAUCCCCAGAGCCCCCACUUUAGGUCUUUACCUGCACAGGGCUCUUGUCUAAGGCCAAGUCAGCACAGUCGUUUCAUACACGAGGCCACCACUGCACACGCGUGGCUGCCAAGGCAGGAGCGUGACCCACUGAGGCCCGCCUGAGCUCACCGCGUUGUCUGUCCCCCCAGUCACAAAGCAGCCUUCGCCGGUCUCACUGAGGAGUCAGUGGAUGCGCAGCCUGAUGAGCACGGCGCUUCAGUCAAAUGUAUUCUUUUCCCUUUCCGUUGAAAUAAACCUCCCCACUGG
rnacentral:lncRNA from 1 species